rnacentral:misc_RNA from 1 species
AAGGUCUAGAUCUCAAAUGCAGAAGUGUAAUAUUUCCAGUAGUGUAAUUGCGAAUGCCAUUCCUAGCUGACGAUAAUGUUAAAGACUUGUGUUUCCUUGUAAAGGCAGGCCAACAGGCUGAGUUCUUUGACAUUCUCAAAACCUUGACAGAACAUAUUCUAUCUAGGUUAGGAAUUGCAUGGAGAUGGGAAGGAAGAUCAAUU